CCUCUGGUAGCUCAGUUGGUAGAGCGGUGGACUGUAGUGGUACAAAAUAGUAAUCCAUAGGUCGCUGGUUCAAAUCCGGCCCGGAGGA
rnacentral:tRNA from 1 species